rnacentral:rRNA from 1 species
UGGGGAAUUUUGGACAAUGGGCGAAAGCCUGAUCCAGCAAUGCCGCGUGUGUGAAGAAGGCCUUCGGGUUGUAAAGCACUUUUGUCCGGAAAGAAAUCCUUGGCUCUAAUACAGUCGGGGGAUGACGGUACCGGAAGAAUAAGCACCGGCUAACUACGUGCCAGCAGCCGCGGUAAUACGUAGGGUGCAAGCGUUAAUCGGAAUUACUGGGCGUAAAGCGUGCGCAGGCGGUUUGCUAAGACCGAUGUGAAAUCCCCGGGCUCAACCUGGGAACUGCAUUGGUGACUGGCAGGCUAGAGUAUGGCAGAGGGGGGUAGAAUUCCACGUGUAGCAGUGAAAUGCGUAGAGAUGUGGAGGAAUACCGAUGGCGGGGGCAGCCCCCUGGGCCAAUACUGACGCUCAUGCACGAAAGCGUGGGGAGCAAACAGGAUUAGAUACCCUGGUAGUCCACGCCCUAAACGAUGUCAACUAGUUGUUGGGGAUUCAUUUCCUUAGUAACGUAGCUAACGCGUGAAGUUGACCGCCUGGGGAGUACGGUCGCAAGAUUAAAACUCAAAGGAAUUGACGGGGU